rnacentral:rRNA from 1 species
GACGAACGCUGGCGGCGUGCCUAAUACAUGCAAGUCGAACGAGAGCGACCGGUGCUUGCACUGGUCAAUCUAGUGGCGAACGGGUGAGUAACACGUGGGUAACCUGCCCAUCAGAGGGGGAUAACAUUCGGAAACGGAUGCUAAAACCGCAUAGGUCUUCGAACCGCAUGGUUUGAAGAGGAAAAGAGGCGCAAGCUUCUGCUGAUGGAUGGACCCGCGGUGCAUUAGCUAGUUGGUGAGGUAACGGCUCACCAAGGCCGUGAUGCAUAGCCGACCUGAGAGGGUGAUCGGCCACAUUGGGACUGAGACACGGCCCAAACUCCUACGGGAGGCAGCAGUAGGGAAUCUUCCGCAAUGGACGCAAGUCUGACGGAGCAACGCCGCGUGAGUGAAGAAGGUUUUCGGAUCGUAAAACUCUGUUGUUAGAGAAGAAUAAAUGCUAGAGUAACUGUUAGCGCCUUGACGGUAUCUAACCAGAAAGCCACGGCUAACUACGUG